ACUUAAGCUCCGUUCCAGGGUAAAUAAAUUCAAAGAUGUAAAGCAGGCUGCAGGGACAGAGGGGGAACCACAAGAGGGCGCUGCUCCCUUUGGGUGGCGGUUUGACACGCAUUCAUCUUCCAUUUGUGAGCACCUCUCUUAUUUUACAGCCUGUGGCAGGAUCCUGCAGGGCAGUUUGUUUUACUUCACACAUGAGCCAAGAUUUUCUGGAAGAUUCCACCAAAGGAUCAAGAAAAUAGAGGAACAGCCCUCUCAGCUUUGGUGUAUUCUCAAACAAAACCUACUGCUGUUUCUGCCCCAGCCAUGCUGUGUGCCCCCUGCUCAGGACUUGUGCUCUUGUUGAUACUGAGUGGGACCAAUGGAGACUCAGUGACCCAGACAGAAGGCCCUGUUAUCCUGCCCGAGGGGGCACUGCUGACCCUGAACUGCACCUACCAGAGCAGCUAUUCUGUUUUCCUUUUCUGGUAUGUCCAGUAUCAAAACAAAGAGCCUGAGCUCCUCCUGAAAAGCUCAUCAGAAAACCAGGAGGAGGACAGCAGAGGUUUUCAGGCCAAGCUUGUUACGAGUGACAGCUCCUUCCACCUGCGGAAAGCCUCAGUGCAAGUGUCAGACUCGGCCGUGUACUACUGCGCUCUGAGAGACACAGUGAGGGGGACUAUAGGGGGUGCUGAACACAAACCCAGAGGGUGCAGGUGGGCCUGGCUGUGGCAGCCCUGGGAGGGGUGUUACCUUCUCUCCAGUGUUCUGCGCUGGAGGCUUCCUCAAAGUGCUUCCAGCUCUGAUGCCUCAGAGCCAAGGAGCCUUGGAAUUCUUGGAUGAGUCUGCAGAGAGGAAUUAGGGGAGGGGCAGUGUAAAGAGGAACCUAAACCCUGUUCUCCAGAAACGCCUCUGUUUUCAGCCCAGCCUCUUUCACCUAGAUGAUGGAUAAUUGCUGGGAAGUGACAUUAACUCUGCUCCACGACAGUUCAGUUGGUAUAUGCUAAAAUAUUUCACAACCUGUUAAUGAAAAUUCCCAGAGUAAACAGUUCAUGGACUAAUGUGUAAUCUUGAAGCUCCUCCCUUUUUUUUAUAAUUCAGGCCAAGAUUGUAAUUUCUUGCUGAGUUUCACUGCAGAAACACCAUCUCCAGCGACUGAGACCUUUGUUCUCUCCCCUUGACUUUCCUUCCUUAGUGGUCUCUCUAGAAACGCUGCUGCCUGAGUAAGUUCUAUGAGGAGAGCUUCCUGACGAGAUUUUCUUUAUGUCAAGGGCACUGGUUUCAGAACAGCCCAGUCAGUAACGGCUGCGUCCAUGGCGUGUCUUGCUCGCACUGUGCUGACACACCUCCACACUUAUUUCUGUCAUCACUGCAGCUCUUUAUUGUGACAUGAAAUAAUGGUCUGGAUUCUGGACUUGAGGAUCUGUGCUAUCAGGAAUUCUAACCUCUGGACAUGACUGUGGCUGCAUAGCUUAACAUAUUACUUUAUCACUGCAUUUGUGCCUAUGAUCCUUCUGAAGUGUGUCAAAUUCAGCAGCCAAGGAAACACUCAGGUGUUUGUUUAUAAGAGAGAAGGAUACUAAUGGACUCCUGUUCACUGGGACCCCAAAUGGCUAAAACAAUCCCAAGUUUCUCCACACCAAAGUAGCACAAAGUAGAGAAAUGUGUGCCUUUCACUGAACCCUCGGGAUAUAGAUCACCAAGAGAUACUUUUCUUAAUACUCUGGAAUUCUAUGCUCCUGUUUGCCCUUUAUCCAUCUUUCCUGAUGCUGUGGGAUUGACAGGCACAAACGUGGGUUUUGCAAGGCCUGAGUCGCCUUUGAUUCCUGAGGCUCUCUUUAAUAAAAGGCAGUAAAAUUACCAAUACAAAUUUCUGUUGCCCAGAAUGAUAAGGGGUCUUGAAAUAUAAGCCUGAUUUGCUUCAAGGUGAACCUGUCUCCGGGAUCCCAUAGAGACCAUCUUCCUCCUUAAGACUGAAAUGUUGGAAUAGUCGAGUUUGUCCUGACCUCGGCAGGCUCUCCAACCCCAGGCCUCCUUUCCACUCCAGCACUUGAGCUGUUCUUAAUUUGAGUAUUUUGAGCUCUAUCUUUUUUUUAAAGAACAGCUUUAUUGAGAUUUACAUGUCGUAAACUUCAUCCUUUUAAGUUUACAAUUCAGUGAUUUUAGUACAUUCACAGAGUUGUCCAAUCAUCACUACUAUCUAAUUCCAGAUCACCACCCACAAAGAAACCCUGUACCCAUUAGGGCCGCUCCCAUUCCCCUUUUCCCCGAGCCGCUGGCAACCGCUAAUCUACUUUCUGUCUCUAUGGAUUUCUCUAUACUGAACAUUUCAUGUAAAUAGAAUCAUAUAGUAAAUGGCC